rnacentral:rRNA from 1 species
CCUACGGGUGGCAGCAGUGGGGAAUAUUGCACAAUGGGGGAAACCCUGAUGCAGCGACGCCGCGUGAGUGAAGAAGUAAUUCGUUACGUAAAGCUCUAUUAGCAGGGGAGAAACACUGACCUUACGGUCAGCAGACGGUACCUGAGUAAGAAGCCCCGGCUAACUACGUGCCAGCAGCCGCGGUAUUACGUAGGGGGCAAGCGUUAUCCGGAUUUACUGGGUGUAAAGGGAGCGUAGACGGUGCGCCAAGUCUGGAGUGAAAUGCCGGAGCUUAACUGCGGAACUGCUUUGGAAACUGGCGAACUAGAGUGCGGGAGGGGUAAGCGGAAUUCGUGGUGUAGCGGUGAAAUGCGUAGAUAUUAGGAGGAACACCGAUGGCGAAGGCGGCUUACUGGAGCGUAACUGACGUUGAGGCUCGAAAGCGUGGGGAGCGAACAGGAUUAGAUACCCUUGUAGUC